GGUUAAGCGACUAAGCGUACACGGUGGAUGCCCUGGCAGUCAGAGGCGAUGAAGGACGUGCUAAUCUGCGAAAAGCGUCGGUAAGGUGAUAUGAACCGUUAUAACCGGCGAUGUCCGAAUGGGGAAACCCAGUGUGAUUCGUCACACUAUCGUUAACUGAAUACAUAGGUUAACGAGGCGAACCGGGGGAACUGAAACAUCUAAGUACCCCGAGGAAAAGAAAUCAACCGAGAUUCCCCCAGUAGCGGCGAGCGAACGGGGAGCAGCCCAGAGUCUGAAUCAGCUUGUGUGUUAGUGGAACGGUCUGGAAAGUCCGACGGUACAGGGUGAUAGUCCCGUACACCAAAAUGCACAGGUUGUGAACUCGAAGAGUAGGGCGGGACACGUGGUAUCCUGUCUGAAUAUGGGGGGACCAUCCUCCAAGGCUAAAUACUCCUGACUGACCGAUAGUGAACCAGUACCGUGAGGGAAAGGCGAAAAGAACCCCGGCGAGGGGAGUGAAAAAGAACCUGAAACCGUGUACGUACAAGCAGUGGGAGCACCUUCGGGUGUGACUGCGUACCUUUUGUAUAAUGGGUCAGCGACUUAUAUUCUGUAGCAAGGUUAACCGUAUAGGGGAGCCGCAGGGAAACCGAGUCUUAACUGGGCGUUAAGUUGCAGGGUAUAGACCCGAAACCCGGUGAUCUAGCCAUGGGCAGGUUGAAGGUUGGGUAACACUAACUGGAGGACCGAACCGACUAAUGUUGAAAAAUUAGCGGAUGACUUGUGGCUGGGGGUGAAAGGCCAAUCAAACCGGGAGAUAGCUGGUUCUCCCCGAAAGCUAUUUAGGUAGCGCCUCGUGAAUUCAUCUUCGGGGGUAGAGCACUGUUUCGGCUAGGGGGUCAUCCCGACUUACCAACCCGAUGCAAACUACGAAUACCGAAGAAUGUUAUCACGGGAGACACACGGCGGGUGCUAACGUCCGUCGUGAAGAGGGAAACAACCCAGACCGCCAGCUAAGGUCCCAAAGUCAUGGUUAAGUGGGAAACGAUGUGGGAAGGCACAGACAGCCAGGAUGUUGGCUUAGAAGCAGCCAUCAUUUAAAGAAAGCGUAAUAGCUCACUGGUCGAGUCGGCCUGCGCGGAAGAUGUAACGGGGCUAAACCAUGCACCGAAGCUGCGGCAGCGACACUAUGUGUUGUUGGGUAGGGGAGCGUUCUGUAAGCCUGCGAAGGUGACCUGUGAGGGUUGCUGGAGGUAUCAGAAGUGCGAAUGCUGACAUAAGUAACGAUAAAGCGGGUGAAAAGCCCGCUCGCCGGAAGACCAAGGGUUCCUGUCCAACGUUAAUCGGGGCAGGGUGAGUCGACCCCUAAGGCGAGGCCGAAAGGCGUAGUCGAUGGGAAACAGGUUAAUAUUCCUGUACUUGGUGUUACUGCGAAGGGGGGACGGAGAAGGCUAUGUUAGCCGGGCGACGGUUGUCCCGGUUUAAGCAUGUAGGCUGAUUGUCCAGGCAAAUCCGGAUAAUCAAGGCUGAGGUGUGAUGACGAGGCACUACGGUGCUGAAGUAACAAAUGCCCUGCUUCCAGGAAAAGCCUCUAAGCAUCAGGUAACAUUAAAUCGUACCCCAAACCGACACAGGUGGUCAGGUAGAGAAUACCAAGGCGCUUGAGAGAACUCGGGUGAAGGAACUAGGCAAAAUGGUGCCGUAACUUCGGGAGAAGGCACGCUGGUGUGUAGGUGAAGUCCCUGCGGAUGGAGCUGAGACCAGUCGAAGAUACCAGCUGGCUGCAACUGUUUAUUAAAAACACAGCACUGUGCAAACACGAAAGUGGACGUAUACGGUGUGACGCCUGCCCGGUGCCGGAAGGUUAAUUGAUGGGGUUAUCCGUAAGGAGAAGCUCUUGAUCGAAGCCCCGGUAAACGGCGGCCGUAACUAUAACGGUCCUAAGGUAGCGAAAUUCCUUGUCGGGUAAGUUCCGACCUGCACGAAUGGCGUAAUGAUGGCCAGGCUGUCUCCACCCGAGACUCAGUGAAAUUGAACUCGCUGUGAAGAUGCAGUGUACCCGCGGCAAGACGGAAAGACCCCGUGAACCUUUACUAUAGCUUGACACUGAACAUUGAGCCUUGAUGUGUAGGAUAGGUGGGAGGCUUUGAAGCGUGGACGCCAGUCUGCGUGGAGCCAACCUUGAAAUACCACCCUUUAAUGUUUGAUGUUCUAACGUUGGCCCCUGACCGGGGUUGCGGACAGUGUCUGGUGGGUAGUUUGACUGGGGCGGUCUCCUCCCAAAGCGUAACGGAGGAGCACGAAGGUUAGCUAAUCCUGGUCGGACAUCAGGAGGUUAGUGCAAUGGCAUAAGCUAGCUUGACUGCGAGCGUGACGGCGCGAGCAGGUGCGAAAGCAGGUCAUAGUGAUCCGGUGGUUCUGAAUGGAAGGGCCAUCGCUCAACGGAUAAAAGGUACUCCGGGGAUAACAGGCUGAUACCGCCCAAGAGUUCAUAUCGACGGCGGUGUUUGGCACCUCGAUGUCGGCUCAUCACAUCCUGGGGCUGAAGUAGGUCCCAAGGGUAUGGCUGUUCGCCAUUUAAAGUGGUACGCGAGCUGGGUUUAGAACGUCGUGAGACAGUUCGGUCCCUAUCUGCCGUGGGCGCUGGAGAAUUGAGGGGGGCUGCUCCUAGUACGAGAGGACCGGAGUGGACGCAUCACUGGUGUUCGGGUUGUCAUGCCAAUGGCACUGCCCGGUAGCUAAAUGCGGAAGAGAUAAGUGCUGAAAGCAUCUAAGCACGAAACUUGCCCCGAGAUGAGUUCUCCCUGAGACUUUAAGUCUCCUGAAGGAACGUUAAAGACGAUGACGUUGAUAGGCCGGGUGUGUAAGCGCAGCGAUGCGUUGAGCUAACCGGUACUAAUGAACCGUGAGGCUUAACCUU
rnacentral:rRNA from 1 species